UACGUAGGGGGGCUAGCGUUGUCCGGAUUUAUUGGGCGUAAAGAGCGUGUAGGCGGCCAGGUAGGUCUGGUGUGAAAACUCGAGGCUUAACCUCGAGAUGUCAUCGGAAACCAUCUGGCUAGAGUCCGGAAGAGGAGAGUGGAAUUCCUGGUGUAGCGGUGAAAUGCGUAGAGAUCAGGCGGAACACCCGUGGCGAAGGCGGCCAGCUGGGCCGUCCCUGACGCUGAGGCGCGAAGGCGUGGGGGAGCGAACGGG
rnacentral:rRNA from 1 species